AGACGUCUACAUUAGAUACCCGCGUAGUCCCAGCCGUAAACAAUGUGCGUUAGGUGUGUCGGUAACCACGUGUUACUGAUGCCGCCGAAGAGAAAUCGUGAAACGCACCACCUGGGAAGUACGGUCGCAAGGCUGAAACUUAAAGGAAUUGGCGGGGGAGCACCACAACAGGUGGAGCCUGCGGUUUAAUUGGAUUCAACGCCGGACAUCUCACCGGAUAAGACAGCUGAAUGAUUGUCAAUCUGAAGGUUUUACAUGACUAGCUG
rnacentral:rRNA from 1 species